AGCGGUUUUUAAAAUCUGAUGUCUAUGAUUAAAUAAAAUAAUUUAAUCUUUCCACCCAUACUUAGCCGAAAUUUGCAACACUUCAUUCUUCCCUCCAAACCUAAACCUAUGUCGCGUAGUCCACCCAUACUUAGCCCUAAACCUAUAUCGUCGCUACGACACCACCACUUUCCUCCGGCUAUCUCUCUCAGCCCCUCAUCUCCCUCUUCUCCUUCUAGCGUACCUGCCUCUCCCGAUCAGGAUCAAAACCACCUGCUCCGGUCCUAAGCAAAAUCGCAGCAUAAAUGAUAGAUGCAAUUCCCCCCUUCGAAGAGCACACCGGCCUUCCCAUCGGUGACCCUCUGCACGAUCCCAUUGUACAUGUGGAAAGGGUUCUUUGGGGAUCACGAUCAUCCCGGGCAGGAAAAGGGGAAGCUCGGGGAGCUUCGGCUUUGCCCGCGCCAGCAACACCGCGAUGCUCUCCUCGCCGCCCGCCCUUGCCUUUGCCUCGGAAGGAGAGGGGUUCCGCUGGAUGAAGUCUUUGAGGCCCUUUUCGCCGCCUGGGAAGAUUGAGGGUGAAGAUUGAGGCACUGUGGAAAUGUGAAAACCCUAAUCCCCUCCUUACAUCUACACUCUUACCUGUUGCAGUUCUUUGAUCUGAUGUUGGUUUUGUUUGCCAUUUCACUAUUGUGGUCGUCGUUGGGAGAUUUGAGUGGAUCGGUUGAUAUGUGUAGGGUUUACUCGAUCGAUUUGUUUUCAUUGCAAAUCUACGCCCGUAGAUCGAUUUGGUUCCUGCCUUUUAGUGGCUGUCUGUGAGACCACCUUCGAACUCCGAUUAUAUCAAUCUCCUGGGUCUACAAAAUCUGCACUCCGCCAAAAUCGAACCUUUCCUCUCUGAGAUACCAUCAUUGUACCAAUCUCCGGGUUCUACACUUUCAAUUUGUUAGGAGGAGGCAACAAAUCGCAAACAGAGUCGAAGAGAAAUGAGAGGAGGGUUACUGGAAAUCGAGCCUAAGGAGCUCAAGUUCGUCUUUGAGUUGAAGAAGCAGAGCUCGUGUUCCCUGGAGCUAAUUAACAAGACAGAUCAGUACCUUACCUUUAAGCUUUCUGACAAUCAGGCACAAAAGAUGUUUGGCAACAGAUGGACAGAGAUUGCAAAGGUUGUAUCAGGAAGAACAGAUAACGCUGUAAAGAAUCGCUUCUCCACCCUCUGCAAGAAAAGGGCAAAAUUUGAGGCUUCAUCCAAGGAGAAUAGUGUUCCAUCUUUGGACCCAAGCAAUAAGAGGGUUCUUGUUGAAGAACCAUCUAUAGCAAUACUAAUAGGGGAACCAUCGACAUCAAAUAAGCAGAUGGGGUAUCACAUCUCUCCUCUCAAAGAGACAAUUGAAGCACAUAGGAGAUCUCUUGGGGAACAUGGUCCAGCUCAACAUCUGCAAAGGCCACCUCUAUUAGAAGUUCAAAACUUUGACACAGUUAAUCGUCAUCAUUUAAUAUGAGAGGCUAUACAUAUGAUGCUUCCAAUAAGGUUAGUCAAGCAACUUUCCUUGGGAGAGAUGACCCAAAACUAACUGCCUUGUUGCAACAAGCUGAAUUGCUGACUACCCUUUCCAAGAAGGUUAAUGCAGAAAAUACCAACCAAAGUCUUGAUGAGGCUUGGAAGGUGCUAAUUUUGUCAGCGCAAAUGAUUUAUAUUCAAUUUGCUUGAAAUGUUAACCUAACUUCUAUUUCAUUGGUGUUGUGAAUCUUUGGAAACUUUGAACCAUUAGGAGCUUCAAGAGUACUUGAUUCAAACUGAAGACAGUGGGCUACUAAGAAAAAGAAUUGCUAAUUUUGUAAUCAGGUUGUUGAAGUACCAAAUGUCAGUUGGGAUGAUAUUGGUGCGCUAGAAAAUGUCAAGAGGGAACUGCAAGAGGCAUUUGAAGGUGAAAAGUGGUGAGAUUAGGGAAAUGAAAGGUGCAAGAAGAAUGGAGCAGUAUAGCAAGUUGAACAGAUUCUGAUUCUCAUAAUUUAAUGCCCCCAUCGGGUUUGCCUCCGCCGGCCUCUCGAACAACGAGAUUCGUCUGGAGGAUGAGAGCCCUCUCAUUGCCGAGGACAACGGUGCCCCCAUUAACGGCGUGGCGGAGUAUGAGAGGCCGAAGAAGGUUUUGAUUUUGAUGAGUGAUACUGGUGGUGGGCAUCGCGCGUCGGCGGAGGCCAUCAGGGCUGCCUUCAACCAGGAAUUCGGCGAUGAGUACCAGGUCUUUGUGACUGACUUGUGGACGGAGCAUACGCCCUGGCCAUUUAAUCAAUUAUCGAGAAGCUACAAUUUUUUGGUAAAGCAUGGUGCUUUGUGGAAAAUGACGUACUAUGGUACCGCACCUCGCUUGGUGCAGCAACCACAUUUUGCGGCAACUUCAACGUUUAUUGCUCGGUAAAGAUCACUUGCAUGUUUCUCAGUUUGGUGGAGAAUAAGUACAACAUGAAUGUAUUCCACAAGCUAUUCUGGGAAUGGAUGUUAUUUGUCAAGCAAAGUCUGGAAUGGGUAAAAUGGCGGUUUUUGUACUUUCUACUCUUCAGUAAAUUGAGCCAACAGCAGGCCAAGUUGCUGCACUUGUGAUGUGUCAUACAAGAGAAUUGGCCUUCCAGAUUUGCCAUGAGUUUGAGCGAUUCAGCACAUACUUACCAGGCAUCAAGAUUGCUUAUUGUAUACUAUACUUGUUGUCCAGUAACUUAUCUUUGAACUAUUAAUAUUAUAUCGUGAUAUAGGUUUUACAUCAGAAACCAAAGAAGACACUGAAGGAGAUAACCAAAGAUUUAUGCCCAGUUCUUAGCAUACAACAGUUAUACAGAAUCAGUACUAUGUACUGGGAUGACAAGUAUGGCACGCAGAGUGUUACAUCAGAGAUCAUUUCAAGUAUGAGACUUGUGAUGGCCGAGGGCUCAAAUAAUUCUUCCAAUAAUUCUUUCUUGUUAGAUGAUGAUUCCAGCAUUCCAUUUUUGGUCGAUGAUAUCUCAAAGUCAAUGACGGAAAUAGAUAUAGCAGAUAUUGAUCCACCGCCUUUCCUUUGUCAGAGUUCGGGCUUUGCAUUUUUGGCACAAUGAAAGUAGCAAAUGUUACCCUCCUGUUUAUCCACUGCUAAUCCCCCUGUGCCUGUGCAUAAAUUUCUGCCUUCCAUCCUGUCCAUAUCAUCAAGUAAAUAGGGUAGUAUUAUAGAAGAUAUAAUAUCAUUCUUUUAUGAUAUGAUCUACACAUGCACAUUAUAAACAAUAUACAAUAAGCAAUGAUGAUAUAUGGUGAAUUUACUUCUUUACUUAUUUCUUGUUUUACUUGAUGUAUUAUUGAGCAUCUCAUCCAUAUAUUAUAGGCCUUGGAAAUUAUAUACAGUUAUAUAUUGACCAUAAUAUUAGUAAUUUGAUUAUCAAGUUGAUCUCAUAGUUCUGUUGGUUCUAAAGGAAAUUUAUUCUUUGUCACUUUUUAUACGUACAAGAGUUUUGGAUUGUUUAGGGGAGAGAAUUACAAGUCAGAAAAGCUCAAGUUCUUUAGUGGAUAUAUACAGUUGUUUAUUUCACCUUUCUUGAUCUCAAUGCACACCAAUCCCUUAGUUUAGGGAGGUAGUACAUUUUGUUGAGUUGUUGUUACAAAUUAAUCCCUUAUAUUUAUGUG